rnacentral:pre_miRNA from 1 species
UGUUAAAAAAGUCAUCCAUUUCUAGUGUUAAAAAAUUGGCUUGACUAACAUAAUAACUAAACACCACAUGUGCCUUAUUCAUAUGUAUAUUAACUGAUUUUUAAUAGUAGAGAUAGAUGAAAUUUUUAACA